rnacentral:rRNA from 1 species
GACGAACGCUGGCGGCGUGCCUAAUACAUGCAAGUCGAACGCUGAAGGAGGAGCUUGCUUCUCUGGAUGAGUUGCGAACGGGUGAGUAACGCGUAGGUAACCUGCCUGGUAGCGGGGGAUAACUAUUGGAAACGAUAGCUAAUACCGCAUAAUAGCAGUUGUUGCAUGACAACUGUUUGAAAGGUGCAAUUGCACCACUACCAGAUGGACCUGCGUUGUAUUAGCUAGUUGGUGGGGUAACGGCUCACCAAGGCGACGAUACAUAGCCGACCUGAGAGGGUGAUCGGCCACACUGGGACUGAGACACGGCCCAGACUCCUACGGGAGGCAGCAGUAGGGAAUCUUCGGCAAUGGACGGAAGUCUGACCGAGCAACGCCGCGUGAGUGAAGAAGGUUUUCGGAUCGUAAAGCUCUGUUGUAAGAGAAGAACGGGUGUGAGAGUGGAAAGUUCACACUGUGACGGUAUCUUACCAGAAAGAGACGGCUAACUACGUG